GAUGAACGCUGGCGGCGUGCUUAACACAUGCAAGUCGAACGAAGCACCUUAUUCUGAUUUCUUCGGAAUGAAAAAUUUGGUGACUGAGUGGCGGACGGGUGAGUAACGCGUGGGUAACCUGCCUCAUACAGGGGGAUACAGUUAGAAAUGACUGCUAAUACCGCAUAAGACCACAGCACCGCAUGGUGCAGGGGUAAAAACUCCGGUGGGAUGAGAUGGACCCGCGUCUGAUUAGGUAGUUGGUGGGGUAACGGCCUACCAAGCCGACGAUCAGUAGCCGACCUGAGAGGGUGACCGGCCACAUUGAGACUGAGACACGGCCCAAACUCCUACGGGAGGCAGCAGUGGGGAAUAUUGCACAAUGGGGGAAACCCUGAUGCAGCGACGCCGCGUGAGCGAUGAAGUAUUUCGGUAUGUAAAGCUCUAUCAGCAGGGAAGAAAAUGACGGUACCUGACUAAGAAGCACCGGCUAAAUACGUGCCAGCCGCCGCCAAAC
rnacentral:rRNA from 1 species